rnacentral:tRNA from 1 species
GGGGGGAUUCCAGAGCGGCCAAACGGGGCAGACUGUAAAUCUGUUGGUAUAUACCUUCGGAGGUUCGAAUCCUCCUCCCCCCA